rnacentral:snRNA from 1 species
UUGCUUCGGCAGCAGGUAUACUAAAAUUGGAACGAUACAGAGAUUAGCAUGGCCCCUGCACUAAGAUGACAAGCAAAUUUGUGAAGUGUUCCAUAUUUUU